UUUUAGUAGACAUGCUAUUGACAUUUUAUAGGUAAAUAAAUUGGGAAGAGAAUUUAAAGACUUCUAGUUUUUUUUUUUCAUUUCCAGAGAACGUGAGGGAAUGGUUGUAAUGUCCUUUACUCUCUCCUCUUUCUUCUUCUAUAGUGAAUUAACGUGAUAUUGGAGGUUAUAGAGUUCAAGAGUUUUUACAGCGGAGAGCCGUACGACGUGGUCCCAAAUCGUUAGACAGUUGCUUAUGUUGGAGUAACUUUUCAUAGUUUGGGUGGUUGGAGUUAUUGAUUGAUUGCGCAAAGACUACACUUACGAGUGUUGAAUUGUUUGAAACUUGCGAUGCUACUGCUAGAUAUUGAGGUGUCCAAGGAUCAAGUACACCAGGGAGCAGACUUCUAUAUUAGGUACUUGCUUUGAUUCAGCGGAGAACUUGGUGAGCUUUUCUCUCAUCUGAAGCUAAUAGAUGUCUAGAAUUCCUUAAGUCAUAUUUAUAGUUAUAACUGGGGUAUGUCAGUUCUUAUCCCAACCAUCUAUUGUAGUAUGGUAACAAACUCUAUUAGAGGCUUCGUAGAUAAUGUAAAAUUAUUAUAUAUAUCCAUAAUUUUAGUUGUCUACUGUAUCAGUAUGACCAUUUGGACAAUGUUACUUAUGUAGCAUUCUUGUAAUUAUCUUAUGAAUAGUGGCUCAUCUGCUUAAUGUAGGUCACUGUAUGACAAAUGUUCAUAGGGAUCCUUGUCUACCCCCUUUGGUCUGGGGCGUGACAUCUAGGAGAAACCUCCACCUGAACAAGACUCUUAAAAGACUAUAUUAUGUAUGCUACUGUAUUAUGACUUGAGAAGAGAGAUCUUCUAUUUAUAGAACUACAGAACACUUUCUCUAACAAAGAAGAAACCUAAGAGUACGCUGUGGAUGGUAAUAAGUUAUGGUUCGAGAAGAGAAAUCUUCUAUUUAUAGAACUAUAAAACACUUCCUUUAACAAAGAAGAA